UUUUUUAUUAUUAUCUGAUCUCUCUAUUUAUAUCUUUUGUCUGUUUUGGUAAUUUGUUUAUUGUCUUUGUAUGUUUCAGCAGGUUUUUUUUAAGGUAGUGUUAUUCUAAACUGACUAUUGACCAUCAGUAAAUACCACAUGCUGAUUAUGGAGGUGAUAAGCCAAGUUCCAUUUACUUUCAAGCAGCAGAAAAGAAGCAAACAGUAAGGUAGUCCUUAAAAAUCUUCUCUGGAAGAUCAUAUUGCACAAUUAGCUAUUACUUUUGCUUUCAAACAUCUGGAAAUUAAAAAAAAAAUUUGAUUGUGGCCCGCUAACUAAAGGUAAUCUUUGACAAACCUUGGUAUGAACCCUGUGUACAAGUUUUGGAAAUUGAUAUGUGGACAAGCCUUAGUGUGAGGCCUGUGGGCAAGCCUUGGGUGUUCUGUGGACAAGCCUUAGUCUGUGGCCUGUUGACAAGCCUUUGGGUGACCUGUGGACAAGCCUGGUUGAGUUGCUUGUGGGCAAGCGUUGGGGUGGCCUGUGGAGAAGUCCUCAUGGACAGCUGGGAAUCCUAGAUCUUGGAUGAGAGUGGCGAGGUGAUGGAAAAAUUAAAGUGCUCAAGUCAUGAACACAAAAGCUUCUCUGGGGCCAGGAAACACAUUAUAUAGAUCAACAUAAAUACCUUGGAUAUGGUCCGUUCUCUCAGGGGAUGAGAGUUUUUCCCCAAGGUUGUUGAGGCGAGUGGUUUGAAUUUGAGGACGAAGAAGGAUGAAUGAAGUCAUUUUCAUUUCGUCACGACUUUUCUUAAGGACAGCGUCAGCCAUAGGAUGAGGUUAUCACGAAAUCAAGGAAUUUCAAGGGAAGAAAGGAACACAUAAAACUUUCGUAGAG